rfam:Gossypium raimondii Chr11_contig_212, whole genome shotgun sequence.
UAUGAAAAUUUCCAUCUAUUUUUAUUAGUAAACACUGGUGUGAUUAACGGAAUAACUAGAUAAUUACAUGCAUCUUAUGUUGAUAUACAAGAAUGAAUUUUUAAUAGUAAAAGUGGAUGGAAUUUUUAACA